rnacentral:rRNA from 1 species
ACGCUCGACACCUACGGAGGCAGCAGUGGGGAAUAUUGGGCAAUGGGCGAAAGCCUGACCCAGCAACGCCGCGUGAGGGAAGAAGGUUUUCGGAUUGUAAACCUCUGUCCUCAGGGACGAAGGACGUGACGGUACCUGAGGAGGAAGCCCCGGCUAACUACGUGCAGCAGCCGCGGUAAUCUGAGCGGGCUGGCAAGGC